rnacentral:rRNA from 1 species
AUUGAACGCUGGCGGCAGGCCUAACACAUGCAAGUCGAGCGGAUGAAGGGAGCUUGCUCCUGGAUUCAGCGGCGGACGGGUGAGUAAUGCCUAGGAAUCUGCCUGGUAGUGGGGGAUAACGUCCGGAAACGGGCGCUAAUACCGCAUACGUCCUGAGGGAGAAAGUGGGGGUCCUUCGGACCUACCCCUUCAGAGUGGCCUAGGUCGGAUUAGCUAGUUUGUGGGGUAAAGGCCUACCAAGGCGACGAUCCGUAACUGGUCUGAGAGGAUGAUCAGUCACACUGGAACUGGGACACGGUCCAGACUCCUACGGGAGGCAGCAGUGGGGAAUAUUGGACAAUGGGCGAAAGCCUGAUCCAGCCAUGCCGCGUGUGUGAAGAAGGUCUUCGGAUUGUAAAGCACUUUAAGUUGGGAGGAAGGGCAGUAAGUUAAUACCUUGCUGUUUUGACGUUACCAACAGAAUAAGCACCGGCUAACUUCGUG